rnacentral:rRNA from 1 species
GUGCAGCAGCCGCGGUAAUUCCAGCUCCAAUAGCGUAUAUUAAAGUUGUUGUGGUUAAAAAGCUCGUAGUUGAACCUUGGGCCUGGCUGGCCGGUCCGCCUCACCGCGUGCACUGGUCCGGCCGGGCCUUUCCCUCUGUGGAACCCCAUACCCUUCACUGGGCGUGGCGGGGAAACAGGACAUUUACUUUGAAAAAAUUAGAGUGCUCCAGGCAGGCCUAUGCUCGAAUACAUUAGCAUGGAAUAAUAAAAUAGGACGCGCGGUUCUAUUUUGUUGGUUUAUAGGACCGCCGUAAUGAUUAAUAGGGACAGUCGGGGGCAUCAGUAUUCAACUGUCAGAGGUGAAAUUCUUGGAUCAGUUGAAGACUAACUACUGCGAAAGCAUUUGCCAAGGAUGUUUUCAUUAAUCAGGAACGAAAGUUAGGGGAUCGAAGACGAUCAGAUACCGUCGUAGUCUUAACCAUAAACUAUGCCGACUAGGGAUCGGACGGUGUUAUUCAUGACCCGUUCGGCACCUUACGAGAAAUCAAAGUGCUUGGGCUCCAGGGGGAGUAUGGUCGCAAGGCUGAAACUUAAAGAAAUUGACGGAAGGGCACCACCAGGGGUGGAGCCUGCGGCUUAAUUUGACUCAACACGGGGAAACUCACCAGGUCCAGACACAAUAAGGAUUGACAGAUUGAGAGCUCUUUCUUGAUUUUGUGGGUGGUGGUGCAUGGCCGUUCUUAGUUGGUGGGGUGACUUGUCUGCUUAAUUGCGAUAACGAACGAGACCUUAACCUGCUAAAUAGCCCGCAUUGCUCCGGCAGUGCGCUGGCUUCUUAGAGGGACUUUCCGGCUCAAGCCGAAGGAAGU